UCAUCCAGCCAUUUUUGUUUUUUUGUCAUUUUGUGCAACUUAUUUUCUAAGACUGUUUUUGUAAUUUAUUUAUUGAUGCGACGAUAUACCACAUAUAAAUGAACGAUAGACAGAAUCAUUUUUAUCUCAUCUCGCCGAAUGAAGUGACACAAUAAACCAAGAUGUGUCGAACGGUACACGCGGUCUUGCAAACCGCAAUAUGCGGAAUACAGAUGCUGGUGAGGGUCUUUAUGACCGUAAUUCUGAUGAUCGAGAACGUAAUCAGAAUGCUUCUGCAGACGCUGUACAACUUCAUAUCGUUCGUGUUACAAAUGGUGUCGCUGAUUCCGAUAUGUAUCGUGUUCCUUCUGACUGCGAGGCUCAAAUGUUUCAUGUGCGGCGGCGGUGGACCCUGCCCCGUGAACCGCGGGGGAACUUGUGACUGUCUCAUGUCUGCCCUCGCUUUCGUCAUCUUAUUCUUUAUCUUCCGAGCUACUGGAGUCCUCGAUAAGAUAUUCUACAGUCUGGGCUACGCGAAAGCCCGGCCACCAGCCGCUGCCAGAUUCGUCCCCACCCCUGGAGACAUAACAGAAUGCUCCAGAAAUGACACUGAAUCUCUUGACACCGAUUACGACCUGACGUCCACCACUACUAUGACUACACCUUUUGAUGAUAUGUCUAAGCUCGCCGAUGACACAACAAGGACGGUGAUAGUUCAGCAACAGGAGACCCAAACAGACCUCGUAACGACCAGCUCCAAGCCUCAAUUGUGGCAACCAUAUAACAGGCGUCAUGAUGAUAAGAAAAAGAAAAUUAAUGCACGCAAUCGCAAAUUGACUACUAAUGUGGCGUAUUAUUUGAUAUGAUUCCGUCUUGAUUUCGUUUUGUAAUAAAUUUUUGAAUCAUAA